rfam:Nostoc sp. PCC 7524, complete genome.
GGGUCCGUAACGGUUUCGACAGGUUGGCGAACGCUACUCUGUGAUUCAGGUCGAGAGUGAGUCAUCUCUCGCAAAUCCAAGGCUCAAAAAAAAAGUAAAUGCGAAUAACAUCGUAAAAUUUGCUCGUAAGCCUGCUACUGUAGCAGUUGCCUAAAAACCUCUCAUAGGUUCGAGCGUCUUCAGUCUGACUCCGUUAAAGGCUAAAGACCAACCCCCAACGGAUGCCCUAGCAAGUAUUCUCUGGUUGACUUGCUAGCUAAGACUUAAUCAGAGUAUCCUACGUUCGGGAUAAUGAACGAUUCCCGCCUUGAGGGUUAGAAAGGCUAAACCUGUGAAUGAGCGGGGGGUCAAUACCCAAUUUGGACAGCAGUUCGACUCUGCUCGGAUCCACUA